rnacentral:rRNA from 1 species
AGCGAACGCUGGCGGCAGGCCUAACACAUGCAAGUCGAACGAACUCUUCGUAGUUAGUUGCUGACGGGUGAGUCACACGUGGGAACGUGCCUUUUGGCUCGGGAUAACUCUGUUAAACUUGUGCUAAUAUCGAAUGUGCUCUGCUGGUGAAAGAUUCAUCCCCCUUAUAGGGGCCCGCGUUUGAUUAGCUAGUCGGUGAGGUAACGGCGGAUCACGGCUACGAUCAGUAGCUGGUCUGAGAGCAUGGCCAGCCACACUGGGGCUGAGAAACGGCCCAGAAUACUACGGGAUGCAGGAGUGGGGAAUCUAGCGAAAUGGGCGAAAGGCUGACGCAGCCAUGCCGGGUGAAUGAUGAAGGUCUUAGGGUAGUAAAAUUCUUUAACCGGGGACGAUAAUGACGGUACCCGGAGAAGAAGCCCCGGCUAACUUCGUG